AUCAUAUUCUAAUCAAGGCUGCUUAGCCUAAUCUAAUUGGUGGGGAGGAUUGAGGGAAUUAAUGUUGUUGCUGAUUAACAUCUAAUUGGUGGAAAGCUCACACUAAGGGACUCCACCUACCCAGAGCUGCAAAUAGAAAAGAUACUUUAUGUAGUCAUUGCAGAUCCCUCGGACAAAGUCCUUUUCUGUUUGAGGUUCGGAUGAAAAAGAUUGGAUCUUCUCCUAGUUAAUAUGGUAUGAUAGGAUGCCUAGACACCUAAUUUGAGAAUAAGGAUUUCUGGGGCCACAAGUUAACUAAACUUCUCAACUGUAUAACUGCUGAAAGCUAGCAUCAGAACCAUAUGAAAGGGUUUCCUUAAUUUCUUCAUCUUAACACAAGAAGAGUACACCUACCUGCCAAACUAAGUAUUACAAACAUCCCAUUGCUAAUGCUUGUCCUUAUGUAUAUUCUAUUUCAAUCAUUUUCAUUUCCUAUUUUAUGAUAUCAUGAAUACCUCUCACCACAAUCUUGACUAUUUUUCAGAGCAUAAAAUAUAGUUCUUUGAAAAAUAAAAUUUAGUUGUGGAAACUAAGAAAUAAAAUAGAAAAUGCUUCUUUUGAGUACAACACACUUUUUGAGCUUGUGGGUAUUAGGUAGAAGACAAGGAUGCAAAUGUCAACUGUUGGCAUAUAUACAUUCCUUCAAAUGAAUUUUUAUACUAACCAUGAUGUAA
rnacentral:misc_RNA from 1 species